GGUUCUAUGGUGUAGUGAUUAGCACUCUGGACUUUGAAUCCAGCGACCUGGGUUUGAAUCCGAUAGGACCU
rnacentral:tRNA from 1 species